UACGGGGGGAGCAAGCGUUGUUCGGAUUUACUGGGCGUAAAGGGCUCGUAGGCGGCCAACUAAGUCAGACGUGAAAUCCCUCGGCUUAACCGGGGAACUGCGUCUGAUACUGGAUGGCUUGAGUGCGGGAGAGGGAUGUGGAAUUCCAGGUGUAGCGGUGAAAUGCGUAGAUAUCUGGAGGAACACCGGUGGCGAAGGCGGCAUCCUGGACCGACACUGACGCUGAGGCGCGAAAGCUAGGGUAGCAAACGGG
rnacentral:rRNA from 1 species